ACGGAGGAUGCAAGCGUUAUCCGGAUUUAUUGGGUUUAAAGGGUUCGUAGGCGGAAAAGUAAGUCAGUGGUGAAAGCCUGCAGCUCAACUGUAGAACUGCCAUUGAAACUAUUUUUCUUGAAUAUAUAUGAAGUAGGCGGAAUGCGUCAUGUAGCGGUGAAAUGCACAGAUAUGACGCAGAACACCGAUAGCGAAGGCAGCUUACUAAUGUAUUAUUGACGCUGAUGAACGAAAGCGUGGGGAGCGAACAGG
rnacentral:rRNA from 1 species